CAAGACCUUGCGCUUUUGGAGCGGCCGAUGUCUGAUUAGCUAGUUGGUGAGGUAAAGGCUUACCAAGGCUUCGAUCAGUAGCUGGUCUGAGAGGACGACCAGCCACACUGGGACUGAGACACGGCCCAGACUCCUACGGGAGGCAGCAGUGGGGAAUUUUGGACAAUGGGGGCAACCCUGAUCCAGCCAUGCCGCGUGAGUGAAGAAGGCCUUCGGGUUGUAAAGCUCUUUCAGCCGGAACGAAACGGUCACGGUUAAUAACUGUGAUCACUGACGGUACCGGAAGAAGAAGCACCGGCUAACUACGUGCCAGCAGCCGCGGUAAUACGUAGGGUGCGAGCGUUAAUCGGAAUUACUGGGCGUAAAGCGUGCGCAGGCGGUUUUGUAAGUCAGAUGUGAAAUCCCCGGGCUUAACCUGGGAACU
rnacentral:rRNA from 2 species